UUGGUGCUGGAAAUACCGAUGCGAAUGGCCGCUUUUUCUCUGCAUAUGCCGGUGUAGUAGAGAUGGUCCAUCACCACCCUGGGCGUGGUUUGAAUGGCGGCCAAAAGCGGAAGGAUCGUACUGUUUGCAAGCAAAACCGCGUGGUCCAACAGGUGAGGUGGAUAGUGGCUCCACGGCCAUUCCUCGUACGAAUGGCUUGAAUUAACUGGCGCUCCUUCAUAGAAAACAAGUCUAUAAAACAAAUCUGAAUUCAAUCCUUCUUUGUGUGUCGACUUUUUACUUUUGGUGGCGAAGGUAGAAGGUGACGUUCCAAACAUGCUGUCGUUGAAUCUUGGACGAUAUUGCGUGGCGAAAUUGGCUAAAUUGCGUACAUUGACGUAGACGUGGUCUUCCACUUUUAAAAGGAAAUGCAUAUGGGCACAGUUUGUGUGCAGCCAAUGCAAGAGGCCAGCCAUUUUCAGGGACUGUUUAAGACUGCCGGAAUCGGGCAUCUCUAUCUGAAUCAUGUCGCCAAAUUUUCUGUUUUCUUCUUCGAUUUCGCUCUGCGUUUCCUUGAUUUCCACGCAUCCCACCUGCUAUUGGAAAACCAAACCUUUUGCUUUCAAAUAAAAGCACUUUAUCCAACAGCUGCAUAUCUGUCGGCAUUUGCAUACGAAAUGUGUUUCGUUUUGAAAACAGGCGCGCCCAACUUUGUUCCCCGUCUGCGUUGCUCGUUUGAAUUUUUGUUUUCUUUCUUCGGCGCCAAAUGUUGACGUGACGGCCCUUUGCCGGACGUUCGCUCGAAUACGUUCACCGGCCGCCAGCAGCUCGUAUCGUGUGGAAAGUGCACCUGUCGCGGCAAGGCGUUAUCGCCGUUCACGCUCUAUUUCUUUUUGCCUCUUCUUCCUUCGACUCGCUCGAAACGUAGUGACAACACAUUUGUGAGUCUUUUUUUUUGCUGAAAUGUCUUAAUGAUUCGGUCAGUUUAUACCUUUAGUCUAAAGCAAAUAUUACUAUAGAAACGCAUUAGAUGUCAUUGACUCCGAAUAAAAAACCCUGGGAACUUUUC